rnacentral:piRNA from 1 species
UGCCCAGCCUACCAUUAAGAUGCUAAAUG